CGCGUGCGGUGCUUUAAAUGCAGUCGAACGGCAGCGCGGGGCAACCUGGCGGCGAGUGGCGAACGGGUGAGUAAUAUAUCGGAACGUACCCAAGAGUGGGGGAUAACGUAGCGAAAGUUACGCUAAUACCGCAUACGAUCUAUGGAUGAAAGCAGGGGACCGCAAGGCCUUGUGCUCCUGGAGCGGCCGAUAUCUGAUUAGCUAGUUGGUAGGGUAAAGGCCUACCAAGGCGACGAUCAGUAGCUGGUCUGAGAGGACGACCAGCCACACUGGAACUGAGACACGGUCCAGACUCCUACGGGAGGCAGCAGUGGGGAAUUUUGGACAAUGGGCGCAAGCCUGAUCCAGCAAUGCCGCGUGAGUGAAGAAGGCCUUCGGGUUGUAAAGCUCUUUUGUCAGGGAAGAAACGGUGGAGGUUAAUACCUUCCACUAAUGACGGUACCUGAAGAAUAAGCACCGGCUAACUACGUGCCAGCAGCCGCGGUAAUACGUAGGGUGCAAGCGUUAAUCGGAAUUACUGGGCGUAAAGCGUGCGCAGGCGGUUUUGUAAGUCUGUCGUGAAAGCCCCGGGCUCAACCUGGGAAUUGCGAUGGAGACUGCAAGGCUUGAAUCUGGCAGAGGGGGGUAGAAUUCCACGUGUAGCAGUGAAAUGCGUAGAGAUGUGGAGGAACACCGAUGGCGAAGGCAGCCCCCUGGGUCAAGAUUGACGCUCAUGCACGAAAGCGUGGGGAGCAAACAGGAUUAGAUACCCUGGUAGUCCACGCCCUAAACGAUGUCUACUAGUUGUCGGGUUUUAAUUAACUUGGUAACGCAGCUAACGCGUGAAGUAGACCGCCUGGGGAGUACGGUCGCAAGAUUAAAACUCAAAGGAAUUGACGGGGACCCGCACAAGCGGUGGAUGAUGUGGAUUAAUUCGAUGCAACGCGAAAAACCUUACCUACCCUUGACAUGUACGGAAGCCACGAGAGAUCGAGGUGUGCUCGAAAGAGAGCCGUAACACAGGUGCUGCAUGGCUGUCGUCAGCUCGUGUCGUGAGAUGUUGGGUUAAGUCCCGCAACGAGCGCAACCCUUGUCAUUAGUUGCUACAUUCAGUUGAGCACUCUAAUGAGACUGCCGGUGACAAACCGGAGGAAGGUGGGGAUGACGUCAAGUCCUCAUGGCCCUUAUGGGUAGGGCUUCACACGUCAUACAAUGGUACAUACAGAGGGCCGCCAACCCGCGAGGGGGAGCUAAUCCCAGAAAGUGUAUCGUAGUCCGGAUCGCAGUCUGCAACUCGACUGCGUGAAGUUGGAAUCGCUAGUAAUCGCGGAUCAGCAUGUCGCGGUGAAUACGUUCCCGGGUCUUGUACACACCGCCCGUCACACCAUGGGAGCGGGUUUUACCAGAAGUAGGUAGCUUAACCGCAAGGAGGGCGCUACCACGAGACCCCCGUAU
rnacentral:rRNA from 1 species